UCCAAACAUCUGACAAAGCAGACCAUCUCUUAAUAUUUUUGCUCUUUAAAAUGUUUACCACUGCCGAAAACUUUGUGAACAGGAUGUUCCCUACCAAAAAGCCGACGAACUUUAGACUUAAACCACGACGUUACGGGAGGAGAUGACGUUGUUUUCUUAUCGUCAUCAGAAUAAGAAAAAGACGAAGAAGAGUGAUGGUUAUUAUUACUGAGAUAAAGUGUUUCAGUGAUUUUAUUUUUUAUAGAUUCUCUGGCUCAUCCGAUUUCUCCACUUUACACUCCUCGUGUUCCUACAUUAUCAGUAAAGUAAAACCCAAAUCUUGAAAUUCAGUCAAGUUAUGUGUCUAUUGUAUCUGAGAGAAAAAGUUGUAAAGAUUCAUUUUUGUGUGUUUGUAUUUCUUUCACUUUUUAAUUUUUUUGGAACAAAACAAGGAAAAGAUCAUAGAAUAAAGAUGAAAAACCUUAGCAAUCCUGUCGUUUUUAGUGUAGCUCCUAAGUCUAGGUAUUGAAAACUUAGGGUUGGGUUCCUAUAAUUGGGUAUUUUAUAUGGAGGUGGAAAGGGAUGAUGGCAAUUGGAUUAGAAGGGAAUAGAUGGCUAGGAUUAAAUCUUGCACUUAAGUGGGCUAAUGGGUUGGGAAGAAUGGGCUAAGGGUAAUUGGGUUGGACCAUGUCUUUUGGAUUUGAACUUAGGCUAAAAAGACCAAAUAAUACAAUGUAUCUAUAAAAAUGUAAAAAUCACUCUAAAUUAAAAUAAACUAAUAUAAAACUAAACACUACGAGUGAAACUAAUUUUUUGUAUUUUCAAAUGUUAUAAUACUAUAAAUAUAAAUAUACUAAUUGACUUUAACCUAAAGAUGAAAAUAUUUAUUUUAUUUUUUUUNNNNNNNNNNNNNNNNNNNNNNNNNNNNNNNNNNNNNNNNNNNNNNNNNNNNNNNNNNNNNNNNNNNNNNNNNNNNNNNNNNNNNNNNNNNNNNNNNNNNNNNNNNNNNNNNNNNNNNNNNNNNNNNNNNNNNNNNNNNNNNNNNNNNNNNNNNNNNNNNNNNNNNNNNNNNNNNNNNNNNNNNNNGUAAUUUUUAUUUUUUGUGAUAAAAUAAAGUAAAAGAGUCAAAACUAUUUAAUAUAAUGAUAUUAAACCUAAACUAAAUAUUUUACGCUAAAACGUGUAAAAUCUUGGGGAGGGUCAAAAAUUACAUGUCUACAGACUAGGAAUAUUAUCCUUCCAACCAUGUUGUAGCCAAUUCUGAUAGUAUUCAUUCUAGGUCCAAUGACCUCAUCUCAUCCAACACAACCACUCUAAUGACAUGACACAUCAAUACAGUCCAAAGCCAUAACCUGUGCAACUCGUGCACCCAAUAGCAACAUCCCCAAAUGUACUCAAAUCAUGAAAAAAAUGACUCAAACGGGAGGACUAUCCCGCAAGCUUAACAAGUACUGCCACAAUGAAAUACUGUAAAUUCAUCACACCCCGUAGGACCAUCACACGAAUCUAACACAGGUUCAUACCUCAACAUAAUUUUGCUGCAAUGUGUGCCCCAUCCAAACACUAAUCCAUGGCAUAUACCUCAAGCCACCUUGCUCAAAAUCAAUAACCACGCGCAACGACAUCAAGUACUCAAAGUGCAUUACCAUAACCAUGGAGAAGCAAAUGACAUAACACCACAUGAAACCCGAAAGAGCAUAACCAAUAUGCUAUACAUCAAGCGAUAUCCAAUACUCUUCUCGCUCAAAUCCGUUAUAGGACUCCAAUAGAACCACACUAUAUGUGUAUACAACCAACAAAUCAUGACCCCUCAUAAUAUAGAAGAGUAGCUCAUAGAUCACUCCAGAACACGAAUAAGCUCAACAAUAAUCGAAUGGCACAUCCCUCAAUAAUAGCAAUUCAAAGUCAACAAAUCUGACCCGGUACAGAACACACCUCCAUGUUGGGCCUACCAAUGAACCCCAAAUCUACUCUGGUCCCCCACGAUAGAUAAAUAACCCUCUGAAAGUCUAAAUGACUGAAUCACAACAUAUACUAACCUCUGACUAAACUUGGAUACUUUUUACGGUCGACAACCACGAAACAAUCUACUCACCAGAACUCUCAAUCUCUAAAUCCAUAGAAUAUACGAAUCACCAUCUCUGAUCUCAACUCCACCGCCUAAAUGCCCAUACUUCUCCAAUUACACAGUCACCCCACGAGGAAUACUUCUAGAAGUCUUCUAUACCACAAAGCAAAAAUUGAACUCCAGCAGUCGAUCAAACAAGAGAGUGUCGCAAUACCAAUAAAGUAUCCAUAACUCCCACACAUCGCCCUUUCUGAAAUGUAUAAUCUCAUUAAGCCAUACCAGUUAGUAAUAUCAUUUACCUAGUCAUCAGAAAUUGUCCAUGUUGCUUAAGAAUUUAUGACCUUCCUUUCAGAAUUGAACUGUGACCUUACACAUGCAAAUCCCAACCUUACACAACUUACCACAUAUACCAUGUCAUCCCAUGAUAAAUAUGAGAACUUCAUAAUCCACUUCGAGUCACAAGCAACUAAGUACUCAACUAGCCAAGAACUUUUCAUUUGACCCCAUCUAGGAGAAGAUCACUACACAUCACAUGAUCCUCACGCCAGUAGAAGAUAUACCUCUCUAACCAUGGUAGAAACCACCAAGAACUCUCUGAAUCCCAUUUGCUCAAAACCCAACCGUCAGGAUUGAAUCCUUCUACCCCAACCAAGCUACACAUGUCACCAAAACUCAAGCGCAUCACCACGAAACACAUGUAGAAACUCAUUACCUCAUAAACACCCAAAGAACUAAUCAUACCCAUUACCAUGUCAAUCCAACCUACUACCAAGCUAUCCUAUUUAUUCGAGUUCCUUCUGAAUUGCAUUCACAUUGAUACUUCUCCUCACCAUAAUACCUCAAUCCUCAAUCCAGACUCACCACAUGAGACCCUAACAUAAACCACACUGCCCUAAGGCUCAUAAGCCGCUGAAUGCUCUCUUAAGCACCCCAAAAGUACCACAAUCGAGAUACUCACUCCAAAGAGACCUUCUAUGAAUUUCAAGUUGUUCAUCUUACUUUCUUGAUACUGAAAUGUAUAAUCCACAAUGAUGUAGAAACACUGCGAGCCUCGACACUAUCCAAUGUAACUCUUAGCUUCAAGCCACAUACGAACCCCCAAAAAUUCUCAAUUGCCAUAUAUAAAUAUUGAAUUCAUUAGAACCAUUCUCGAGAGUUAUCCACUCUGCUUAAAUCUUGAUUAGACAGAUCAAAUGGGCUAAUCGACCUUAGCCCCAUUAGCACUCCAACACCCAAGGAUGUAACCCCACCUAAAUGCAACCAGAUAAAUUUCUGCUCCACGAACAUUAUAUCCUUAACCAAUAAGAACUCAAAUCAUUCCAUGAUUCUCAUAUACUCAUAUAAUCUAAUAAAACUCAUACCCAGAAAUUUCCUUUACUCGAGUCAUCCUUGAUCUCAACCUCUGCAAGUCAUAACUGAUUCACCAGUAUACCUCAAACUGAAACUAAUAUGACACUUAGUCGUGCAAUCAACUUAUCAAUAGUAGACUCCCCCCUUGGAUAAAAGCCAUAGAUCAAAACACACAAAAACUCACAAUGUCCAUACUCUAUUACUUCCAUAAUACCAUAGUGAGAUUGAACUAAAUCCUUCAUAAGCUUGUUCAACACAACCAUCUAGUACUUCAAUCAUCUACAAAUCUCGCAUUUACCCUCGUAAUAGUCAAGACAACUCUCAUACGCGAUCCAAACUCAAUCUGCAGCAUAUAUAAUUCACUGGUAAAGGAAGACUCGCUACAAAAGAGCAUAGGGAUCACACGCCCUCAGGACACCCUACAGGAGAUAACCCACCUACUUUGCCUCAAACUAACAUCUCUUUAUACCUUUCCACCAUCAUAAACAUCACGCAAUCACUUAAUAUUCCUGAGUCUGAACUCAUAUCAUGACAUAAAAUCUACUUCGUUCCCCAACUAAACAAUAUGAAAAGAUCCUUCAACACACCCAUAACUCGGGGCUAUUCAUCAAAUCAAGAUGGAAAUCAAGAACCAAAUAGUUCUUUCUACCCUCAAGAAGACCCUCCUCAUCACAUCCAAAUCAUAUGAACAUAUCUCGCAGUCACAUCAUACUCAUCACGUAGCCAUCCAGUCAUUACUUCCACUAAUAUGGACACUACCGAACAUAUAAAUCCAAAAGCACGCUCUCACACAAUCAACACCUUAGUGCUCAAGCUAGAGGCAAAGCCCGGACCCAAGUCAUCCAGACUGGCCCAACAUCAACACACAAAAAUCACAUCUCGCCUCUCAUUUAGGGAAUCACAAGCCGUCGAUGCACAGCUGAUACCAAGUGCUCAUGCGCGCAUAUGAAUGCGUGGAAGGAAUUUCAAGAGUUACAUUUCAAGAUGAAUCAAUGCCGCACGACAAGAAUUUCAAGAAUGUGGGAUUUCCUAAAGGUUUUGCAGCCUCUCAAAGAUAGGUACAGACGUCUUUGUACCAAUCCGUGAGACUCUACUAAACCUUUCAUGACUCGUGAGACCUAUGUAACCUAGGCUCUGAUACUAACUUGUCACGAACUAAAACUAACCCUAUCGUGAUGGCGCCUAAAGUGGUACUAGGCAAGCCGAUACACUACCAAACCCAAUCACUAUUUUUAUUUUUAAGACAAAACCAAAGUUAUUUAACAAUAAACCAGCAUAAGGAGCUUAAAUCAAAACAACAGUGCGGAAAAAAAGCCCGACAUCAGGGUAUCACUAGUCAUGAGCAUUUACUACAACCGUCUGACAACAUCAAGACUAACAUAGCCUAAAAAUAACUGAAUACAACUAAGGGAGGAUAAAGAGGGAGAAAAGUAGGGCUGGGAUUGUCAGGCAGCUACCUUACUAACUCUGAUGGACCGUCCAUUGAUUAAUCAACACCCGCUAUCGGGUUUAGAAAUACCCGGAUCUACACACAAUGUGCCGGGAGUAAUGUGAGUACAUCAACUCACUAAGUAAUAAAAGUAAAUAGAGACUGAGCAGUAAAACCAUUUAAAACAUCUUUCAACAGUCUUCAAUGAAGUGAUGAAACAGUGAGUAAAAAUGGUGAAAACAUAUACAGCCCCUUAGGCAAAACUCACUCGUAUAUAGCCCCUCGGCAAACAUCACUCGUGAACAUCCCCUCGGGCAAACAUGAAUCAUAAACAGCCUCUCGGGCAAACCUCACAAUCACUCAUAUACAGACCCUCGGGCAUUACUUCAUAUCACUCGUAAACAGCCCCUCGGGCACAAUAUGAAUCAAGAACAGCCCCUGGGGCAAAACAUCGUAUCACUCACUCAGGGUACCCAUGCUCACUAGGGCUGUACAGACUCCGGAGGGGCUCCUACAACCCAAGCACUAUAACAAGUGACCUCGUGGAAUAAAUCAAUCAGGCCCUCCUUUUUAUCACUCGAGGGGUAUAUAAGAGAGUUUUUCCAAUUAAAGUGACAUAAAUCGAAAUGGAAUUAUUUUAUUUAUUUAUCAGAGUCUCCACUUAGAAUAAUUUAUUUGGUGUCCCAAGUCACCGGUUUAUUUUAAAUCCUAAGUCGAGGAGAAUUUGGACUUUAUUUAAAAUCUGCAAAACCAGAAAUUCUAGAUAAGGAAUUCUGUUAACAUGGAGAAAGUGUUAGGCAUUUUCGAGUUUCAUAGUUCGAGCACGGUCGCUUAACUAUUAAUAAUUGGCAUAUUAUCUAAUUUAUUACAUGUUUUAAACCUAGUGUGCAUUUUUAAAUUUAUUUAUUUAAAUCGCUUUUUAGGAUAUAUGGAAUUUAUUUUUUUGAACAAGUUACGAUUAUCGUACACUUGUCAUUUUGGAACAUACCGCAAAACACGCCACAUGAAAUGCACCCGUGAUUCGCGAUAUGUUUAUUUUAUUAUUGUUCAAAGUUGUUAUGAUCGGGUCACAUGAAGUGCACACCUGAAUUUGGGUUAGGUAUCAUGACUAUGCCACGGGAAUCGUACCCACAGUCACGAUGAUUUAUUAAUCGCGCCUAAAGCAAGCUACGAUGUAUUUAUUUGGUCCUAAAUUGAAUAUGUAGUUUAUUUGGUCCUCGAGUUGUCUUAUAUUUUAGAAUUUAUUAGUAGUUGGAUAAGGAACUCAUUUAGCCUUUGACUUUUUAACCUGAAGCUAUCUUUGGCUUUUCUGCAUUGUGUUCCACCAAAUGGUUGAUUGAAGUCAAGCGCAAGAGCCAAAUGUAUUUGCAUUUUCAAAUAAUAUCAAAACACAUCCAAGGAAAGGAAGUAAGGAAUAAAAAGGGAAACUAUGCCAUGUUCAUUAUAAAGGGUUAUGUGUACAGAUUUACCAACCCUAAGUAUCUCACAGAAUGAAGCUAAAGGCAAAAAAAACACAGUAUCUUAUAAUCGAGGGAAAUCGCAGAAAAACAAAGCGAACACUUGACGAGCUGUGAAAGUAUAUCAUACACAUAUGUCAUCAAACACAGGAAUAAAAAGCAAAUCCAUCUAAUUAGCUUUCAUCAAACACAGAAAUAACCAAAACAUGCAGCAAAUUUAAAAUAAAAAGUAGCAGACCGGUACUUGGGCAGAACGAACAAAAUAGCUUAUCAUAGCUAAAGCACAUGUCAUAGGUAUAAAUUAUAUAUACUGUUUUUCAACAAACAAACAACCACAUUAAGACCACAUCCUUAGGAAUUGAUUAAGUGCUACUGAUUACUAACAACAUGAGGACAUUGAACAGGGUGAUUUCAAACCAUUAUAUGCCUAUUUGUAUUAAUUUGUUACCGUUUGAAAUAAGAUCUCAAAACACAAACAAAUCGUAUAGCAUUAUUAGGAAAGGAUAAUUGCAUAGAUACAACAAUAAUCAGAAAUUCAUUGAAGACAAAAGGAAUUCAUUCAUUUUUUGACUUAACGGUGGCGUAAAUCACAACAAAGUACCUGCGUGUGUAGAUAUCACCUCCAAAACUCCAACUAAAGGCUAGAUGAGAAAUGAGCUUAGCACAGCGGAAAACCAAUAGAUCCGAACAAGGAGCAACAGCAAAUUUUCAACCAUAGUAGCAUUUUAAAACCCAGAAAAAUAGAAACAAACAGUAGCGGUUUGUUCCAGCCUUGGAGCUCGUCAGCGAGGGAAGCUCAGGCACAAGAGGGAUUUAUAGGAGGAGAAAUUGAAGUGUUGAUGGCUGUUUUUGGGACUUUUUGGUAUAGGAAUUUCAGUUGGGUUUUCAGAGCUUUUACAUGGGUUUGGGGCUGAUUUGAGCUCGAGUAUUAGAGCUGAAAAUGGUGGUGUUCGUGGUGUUCUAAGAGAGGUCCAUGGCUGAAAUUUUGGGCUAAUCCCAUCCCCCUUUCGUUUUUCUUUUCCCGGAUCCCCUCUCUCACUGUAUCGUCCUACCUUCCUCUCUAUCUAUGUGUGUCUUUUUUCAAUUGAAAGAAAGAAGCCAUCUCAAAUCAGAAGGGGAAAGAGGCUGAGGUACUACCGCUAGAAGCUAAUCUCAGAGGAAAGGAUUUGUUGUCUUUGCUCUCUGUUAGAAGUGAGGAAGAAGAAGAUGGGUGAGCUAUUUUGGAAGAUGAUGAGGGAAUGCAGAAGAAGGGGAAAAGCUGCGCUGUUUUGGGUGUUAGGGAUCUCCUCAAAUAAGGUCUAUUAAUGUGUGUUAGGUCUGGGGAUUUAAGGGUAAAAAUGGGGAACGGGAA
rnacentral:lncRNA from 1 species